rnacentral:rRNA from 1 species
AUUGAACGCUGGCGGCAUGCCUUACACAUGCAAGUCGAACGGUAACAGGUCUUCGGAUGCUGACGAGUGGCGAACGGGUGAGUAAUACAUCGGAACGUGCCUAGUAGUGGGGGAUAACUACUCGAAAGAGUGGCUAAUACCGCAUGAGAUCUACGGAUGAAAGCAGGGGAUCGCAAGACCUUGUGCUACUAGAGCGGCCGAUGGCAGAUUAGGUAGUUGGUGGGAUAAAAGCUUACCAAGCCGACGAUCUGUAGCUGGUCUGAGAGGACGAUCAGCCACACUGGGACUGAGACACGGCCCAGACUCCUACGUGAGGCAGCAGUGGGGAAUUUUGGACAAUGGGCGCAAGCCUGAUCCAGCAAUGCCGCGUGCAGAAUGAAGGCCUUCGGGUUGUAAACUGCUUUUGUACGGAACGAAAAGCCCCGGGUUAAUACCCUGGGGUCAUGACGGUACCGUAAGAAUAAGCACCGGCUAACUACGUGCCAGCCGCCGCGGUAA